UCCCAGACUCCUACGGGAGGCAGCAGUGGGGAAUAUUGCACAAUGGGGGAAACCCUGAUGCAGCGACGCCGCGUGAAGGAAGAAGUAUCUCGGUAUGUAAACUUCUAUCAGCAGGGAAGAAAACAGACGGUACCUGACUAAGAAGCCCCGGCUAACUACGUGCCAGCAGCCGCGGUAAUACGUAGGGGGCAAGCGUUAUCCGGAUUUACUGGGUGUAAAGGGGGCGCAGACGGCCAUGGCAAGCCCAGUGUGAAAGGCAGGGGCAUAACCCCUGGACUGCACUGGGAACUGUCAGGCUGGAGUGCGGGAGGGGCAGGCGGAAUUCCUGGUGUAGCGGUGAAAUGCGUAGAUAUCAGGAGGAACACCGGCGGCGAGGGCGGCCUGCUGGACCGUGACUGACGUUGAGGCUCGAGAGCGUGGGGAGCAAACAGGAUUAGAUACCCGAGUA
rnacentral:rRNA from 1 species